rnacentral:rRNA from 1 species
AUACGUAGGGUGCAAGCGUUAAUCGGAAUUACUGGGCGUAAAGCGUGCGCAGGCGGUUUUGUAAGACAGUGGUGAAAUCCCCGGGCUCAAACUGGGGAAUGCCAUUGUGACUGCAAGGCUGGAGUGCGGCAGAGGGGGAUGGAAUUCCGCGUGUAGCAGUGAAAUGCGUAGAUAUGCGGGGGAACACCGAUGGCGAAGGCAAUCCCCUUGGCCUGCACUGUCGCACAUGCACGCAAGCGUGGGGAGCAAACAGGAUUAGAUACCCUGGUAUCCCACGCCCUAAACGAUGUCAACUGGUUGUUGGGGAUUUAUUUUCUCAGUAACGAAGCUAACGCGUGAAGUUGACCGCCUGGGGAGUACGGCCGCAAGGUUAAAACUCAAAUGAAUUGGCGGGG